CAAAUGAUGUGUGAAAAUGGAAUUACCAUCGGAAGGCGCCUGGCGCAGGUUGACGACAAGAUGCCGUGUGCAUACCACCUCAACUGUUACUCGUACCACUGAA
rfam:Trypanosoma cruzi strain CL Brener tcruzi_1047053426201, whole genome shotgun sequence.